GAUGAACGCUAGCGGGAGGCUUAACACAUGCAAGUCGAAGGGCAGCACGUCUUCGGAUGGUGGCGACUGGCGAACGGGUGCGUAACGCGUAUGCAACCUACCCUCAACAGGGGAAUAGCCCAGAGAAAUUUGGAUUAAUACCCCAUAGUAUUACAGAUUCGCAUGUUUCUGUGAUUAAAGUUCCAACGGUUGAGGAUGGGCAUGCGUGACAUUAGCUUGUUGGUGAGGUAACGGCUCACCAAGGCAACGAUGUCUAGGGGUUCUGAGAGGAUGAUCCCCCCACACUGGUACUGAGACACGGACCAGACUCCUACGGGAGGCAGCAGUGAGGAAUAUUGGACAAUGGAGGCAACUCUGAUCCAGCCAUCCCGCGUGCAGGAAGAAGGCCCUAUGGGUUGUAAACUGCUUUUUAUACAGGAAUAACCCCUCUACGUGUAGAGGGCUGAAGGUACUGUAAGAAUAAGCACCGGCUAACUCCGUGCCAGCAGCCG
rnacentral:rRNA from 1 species